GCUUAUCAACGAUUUGGGGUUUUGUUUUUUUUUUGUUUUUAUGCCAUUUUUGUUGCUUUGGGGCGAUGUUGGCCAGAAAAUUGCUGUCAAAAAUGUGCAAGUUGUUCUCAUGCUCGUUUAAUAUAGAAAUUAUUUAAAGUUUAUUUUUUUUCUCAUCUGCUUCUUCUGUUGCAGAGUUUCGGGCCAAUUGAUGCUGGGAAAAUGGCAAAAUCGUGAACGCUUUGUAAGCACCGAUGACUGCGUCAAGCAUUUCAUCUGACGACUCUUACGACCAUUUAAUGACCUACAUUCAGAAGAGGGCAUGCAAAUUAAAAAAAAAAAGCAAGAAGGAAGAAGCAAAAACAUCACCUGGUUGACCGGCUAUAAAAGGAAGUUCUUUUAUGCAGUCAAAUCUAUAGUGGCUGCAGAUAACAUGGUCUUUGGGAUAACAAAAUUGCUAUUUUCAUUGGACUUGGGCUUUAGAGGCACAAUUGAAUAUGCUUUAAUAGAACACUAAAGCAAUAACAGCAGGCACAAUUGAAGAACAGGAUAAGCACACCACACCACAUUCUCAAACUCCUUUUCGUCCUCUCUCAUGCAGCAUAGCAUACGGCCGAUCUACACAAGCUUAAAUUUCAGUCAACAUAGGAAUAUAGUUUCAGACUAUUCUUGCAUAAUAAUCAAAUUUCAUGUGCAAUUAUGAAAUUAUCACCAAAAUGUUCAUAAAACUAGCGAUGGCGUAAAUCACGGAGCGACUGACUACAUAGGGCCAAACCAAACGAGGUGUCUAGCCUUGCGGUUGCUAGAGUGAAGCACAGGGCGUUGUUAAUGUUGGGGAAGAGACGACUGAAAAGACAACAUUCUGCUUAACCACAUUCUCCUUAAGAACAGU